rnacentral:rRNA from 1 species
AGUGAACGCUGGCGGUAGGCCUAACACAUGCAAGUCGAACGGCAGCACAGUAAGAGCUUGCUCUUACGGGUGGCGAGUGGCGGACGGGUGAGGAAUACAUCGGAAUCUACUUUUUCGUGGGGGAUAACGUAGGGAAACUUACGCUAAUACCGCAUACGACCUACGGGUUAAAGCAGUGGAUCUUCGGACCUUGCCCGAUUCAAUGAGCCGAUGUCGGAUUAGCUAGUUGGCGGGGUAAAGGCCCACCAAGGCAACGAUCCGUAGCUGGUCUGAGAGGAUGAUCAGCCACACUGGAACUGAGACACGGUCCAGACUCCUACGGGAGGCAGCAGUGGGGAAUAUUGGACAAUGGGCGCAAGCCUGAUCCAGCCAUGCCGCGUGAGUGAAGAAGGCCUUCGGGUUGUAAAGCCCUUUUGUUGGGAAAGAAAAGCAGUAGGUUAAUACCCCGCUGUUCUGACGGUACCCAAAGAAUAAGCACCGGCUAACUUCGUG